rnacentral:lncRNA from 1 species
CUUCCAGGGACAUGGCUUCAGAAUGGAGACACUGUACAAGUUACAGCAAUGUCUUGUCUUCAAAACCAGAUUUUAAAUUUGAGUCUCUCCAGACAGCAACAAUCUACUUGAGGAUAGAAUUGCAUUCAGAGGAACAAUUUCCAUUUGUCCAGAUGAGAUUUUUUUUUACUUCAUACCCUAAAGGUAAAAGUUUAAACCACAAUUGCUUUCAUAGUUGGAAUUUAGCCUUUUCAUUGAACGUCUAACAGUGAUUCAUCCCUAUUUUCGAUUGACAGGGGUGCAGUAUUAAAGCUGAACAUGAAAAGCUGAGAACUGAGAGGUUACAUUCCAGGAGGUGCUACCGUGGCAGUUAAGUCUUCACAGACAACAACUGAAAUUAAAUUCCUUGGAGGCUGCACACUCCAGCUAAGACACAAGAAUAAAAGUCAAAAGUGAGAGAACACCCCUGUCAUCCUUGCUCAUCAAUCAGGAUUGUUUUCUUUGGUUAUGGGCAGAACGACGUAUUGUAGAAAACUGCUUCUGCUUGUAUGAUGGCCCUGCGCAGAAGUCCAAUUUUUCCA